rnacentral:misc_RNA from 1 species
UCUCCUUCUCUCUCUUCUAACCCAAAAUUCAAACAAGGACUUGCAACUAUCAAAAACCAAAAACAACUCAAUUUUGAUUUUCUUUUCAUUUUCUCUCUCUAGAUAUUAGAAAAUUCUAGACUAGACAACCUACUGUAGUUUCCCCCACAAGCCCCCACCAUCUCAUUUCUAAUCAUCCUGUUGUCCUUAUUCUAAAUUUCACAUCAUGAAAAAAGAGUUGAAAACCGAAAAUAAUAACAGUAACGGUAACAAGCGGUCCCGAGUUGAGUCAGGAUUAGACUCAGCUGGUGACUCGCCUGAGUCUAAGCGAGUUAACACAGAGGUUGAGACAGAUCCUGACUCGUCCGAGUCGAGAGUGAGUCCCAACCGUUCAAACUCGCCGGAAUCGGAUGAUGUGCAAACAGAUGUGUACCUGGAUUCAACGGAGGCCAAGCAGAUCAGAGAAGAUAUAUUGGAUAUCUUAGAUGAGCCUGAUGCUCUGACGGAAUGUCCUCCGGAGAUUCAGGAUCUGGACUCUGUCAUGAAGAGUUUCGAGGAAGAGAUCCUUCACCACUCACCUUUGAACGAUACACAAACCGUCCUCGACCUGACUCCAUCGAAAUCUGGCGACUCACAACCGGACCUCGGAUACCUCCUCGAGGCCUCGGAUGAUGAGCUCGGCCUUCCUCCUACAGUAUCUCCGGCUAACGAACAGGUUAACGUCGAAUCUGCCGUCAUGCCGGAGGCCGCUGAAUUUGCGAAUAUGGCUGGUUUUGAGGACGAAAUGCCUAAUUACGACACGUUCGACUUCGGCAUGGACCACGAGGUUAGGGUAGGAGAUAAUGACAUCGAUAACAGCAACACCGACUUCGUGACGGUAGGAGGACUGUUUGAUUACCCUGAGCCGUCGGAUUUUUCCGAUUUCUCAUGGCGGCAGGAAUCCUUACCCGCUCUAUAAACAGAUGAAAUUUCUGUCAAGGUUUUGUGAAUGGUAGCGUAGUUUGUACAUCUGAAAACCAGAAAGCACAAGAUAUAAAUAGGAAUCCCAUACUGUAGAAUCAAAUGUUUUCAGAGACUAGAAAUUGGAGUUUUAAAGGGAAUUUGCUCAUUUGAACUCAAAUCUGAAUUCUCGAGAAUCGAUGUUAAAUUGCACUAUACAAUUGAAUUGAUUUCCCGCCAUUAAUUAUUGAAGCAAAUUAAUUAAGAACAAACAUAUUAA